GACCUUAGUUGCCAGCAUUCAGUUGGGCACUCUAAGGUGACUGCCGGCUAAAAGUCGGAGGAAGUGGGGAUGACGUCAAAUCAUCAUGCCCCUUAUGACCUGGGCUACACACGUGCUACAAUGGGCGGUACAAAGGGUCGCGAACCCGCGAGGGGGAGCCAAUCCCAAAAAGCCGCUCUCAGUUCGGAUUGCAGGCUGCAACUCGCCUGCAUGAAGCCGGAAUCGCUAGUAAUCGCGGAUCAGCAUGCCGCGGUGAAUACGUUCCCGGGCCUU
rnacentral:rRNA from 1 species